rnacentral:rRNA from 1 species
GACGAACGCUGGCGGCGUGCUUAACACAUGCAAGUCGAACGGAAAGGCCCUGCUUUUGUGGGGUGCUCGUGUGGCGAACGGGUGAGUAACACGUGAGUAACCUGCCCUUGACUUUGGGAUAUCUUCAGGAAAAUGGGGCUAAUACCGGAUAGGAGCUCCUGCUGCACGGUGGGGGAUGGAAAGUUUCGGCGGUUGGGGAUGGACUAGCUGCUUAUCAGCUUGUUGGUGGGGUAGUGGCUUACCAAGGCUUUGACGGGUAGGCGGCCUGGGAGGGUUACCGGCCACAUUGGGACUGAGAGACGGACCAGAAUCCUACGGGAGGCAGUAGGGGGGAAUAUUGCGCAGUGGGCGGAAGCCUGAUGCGGCAACGUCGCGUGCGGGAUGACGGCCUUCGGGUUGUAAACCGCUUUCGCCUGAGACGAAGCGUGAGUGACGGUAAUGGGUAAGGAAGCACCGGCUAACUACGUG